GACGAGGGUGCCAAGCGUUGUUCGGAAUUAUUGGCGUAAAGGCGGGUGUAGGUGGCGUCUAUAAGUCAGGAGUGAAAUACCCCCGGCGAGCUUUAAACUUUGGGAACGGUGCUUUUGAUACUUGCAGAGCUUUGAAUGGUGGGAGAGGAUAAUAGAAUUCCAGGUGUAGUGGUAGAAAUGCGUAGAUAUCAAGAGGAACACCUGCGGCGAAGGCGGGUGCUGGGCCGACACUGACGCUGAGGCGCGAAAGCUAGGGGAGCGAACGGG
rnacentral:rRNA from 1 species